AUUGAACGCUGGCGGCAGGCCUAACACAUGCAAGUCGAGCGGAUGAAGAGAGCUUGCUCUCUGAUUCAGCGGCGGACGGGUGAGUAAUGCCUAGGAAUCUGCCUGGUAGUGGGGGACAACGUUUCGAAAGGAACGCUAAUACCGCAUACGUCCUACGGGAGAAAGCAGGGGACCUUCGGGCCUUGCGCUAUCGGAUGAGCCUAGGUCGGAUUAGCUAGUAGGUGAGGUAAUGGCUCACCUAGGCGACGAUCCGUAACUGGUCUGAGAGGAUGAUCAGUCACACUGGAACUGAGACACGGUCCAGACUCCUACGGGAGGCAGCAGUGGGGAAUAUUGGACAAUGGGCGAAAGCCUGAUCCAGCCAUGCCGCGUGUGUGAAGAAGGUCUUCGGAUUGUAAAGCACUUUAAGUUGGGAGGAAGGGCAGUAAGUUAACACCUUGCUGUUUUGACGUUACCAACAGAAUAAGCACCGGCUAACUCCGUGCCAGCAGCCGCAGUAA
rnacentral:rRNA from 1 species